UACGAAGGGGGCUAGCGUUGCUCGGAAUCACUGGGCGUAAAGCGCACGUAGGCGGGUCUUUAAGUCAGGGGUGAAAUCCUGGAGCUCAACUCCAGAACUGCCUUUGAUACUGAGGAUCUUGAGUCCGGGAGAGGUGAGUGGAACUGCGAGUGUAGAGGUGAAAUUCGUAGAUAUUCGCAAGGACACCAGUGGCGAAGGCGGCUCACUGGCCCGGUACUGACGCUGAGGUGCGAAAGCGUGGGGAGCAAACAGG
rnacentral:rRNA from 1 species